GCCUUCCGCAACAUUCCGGGUAUUGAUAUUGUGAAUGUUGAGAGGCUGAAUCUUUUGAAGCUGGCUCCUGGAGGUCAUCUUGGAAGAUUUGUUAUCUGGACCAAAACUGCUUUUGAAAAGCUUGAUUCCAUUUAUGGAUCGUUUGAGAAGUCUUCUGAGAAGAAGAAGGGUUACGUUCUUCCUAGGGCGAAAAUGGUCAAUGCUGAUUUGUCCAGGAUCAUCAACUCCGACGAGGUUCAAUCUGUUGUUAAGCCCAUCAAGAAGGGUGAGAAGAGACCUUCAUUGAAGAAGAACCCACUCAAGAACCUUAACGCUAUGUUGAAGCUUAACCCAUAUGCGAAGACCGCAAGGAGAAUGUCUUUAUUGGCUGAGGCACAGCGCGUGAAAGCCAAGAAGGAAAAGCUUGAUAAGAAGAGGAACAUUGUCCCGAAGGAGGAGGCUGCAGCAGUAAAGGCAGCAGGCAAAGCAUGGUACCAGACAAUGAUUUCAGAUAGUGAUUACACUGAUUUCGAGAACUUCUCCAAGUGGCUUGGUGUCUCCCAGUGAUUUCCCUUCUCUUUGACAUUUUCAUAGACCUUAGUUUGUUAAUUAAAUUUUGUAUGCUGUUGUUGCUGCCUUUUCUGUUUUGCGUCAUGGAGGAAAGUAGGUUGAGGAAUAGUUCAUAUUAUACUGAAUGGGAUCUCGAGAGCUUCCUCCUUUCUUGCCUCCUUUCUUGUCUUGGUGGAAGAGUAUUUAAUUUUGGAAAUGAAAUUGAACAUCUGAAGAGCUUUAGGGAGGUCAAUUUAGUUUUUUUGGUAUCAGUAGUUUGCACUGAGGUUUACACUUUAAA
rnacentral:misc_RNA from 1 species